GUGUACGCGUGGCUCUUGAGAUUGGACUUGUGUAAUGCUGCGGUGGUAGCAUUCUGAAACUCUAUCAGAAACAGGGUUGAACAGCUUUGUCUCAGAUGAGUGUCUUUGAUUUCUAACACAGAUCGUGAAGAAUCACGGUUCCUACAGAUCUGAGGCUCUUUUGCCUGAAAAAUCUCAUAAAUUUUUGCAACCGAUACAAGCAACAAAGGGAGUCAAAUUUUUUUUUCCUUAUAAAAUGAUCAGAAUGAAGACUAAACCGACAGGGCUGUCACCUAUGAAUGGCGGCUCAAGAGCUGGCCGCGGCGGCGAGUCUGGGGCCGAGUGGGAGCUUAGACCUGGGGGAAUGUUGGUACAGAAGCGAAACCCGGACUCAGAUCGGAGCUCCAUCCCCCCACCUUCAAUAAGAGUUAGGGUUAAGUACGGGUCAACGUAUCAAGAAAUCAGUAUUAGCUCCCAAGCUACAUUUGGGGAGUUGAAGAAAAUGUUGAC
rnacentral:misc_RNA from 1 species